UUUUAUGGAGAGUUUGAUCCUGGCUCAGGACGAACGCUGGCGGCGUGCCUAAUACAUGCAAGUCGAGCGAAGUUUAUGGGAGCUUGCUCCUAAUAAACUUAGCGGCGGACGGGUGAGUAACACGUGGGCAACCUGCCUGUAAGACUGGGAUAACCCCGGGAAACCGGAGCUAAUACCAGAUAAGCUGUUAGUACGCAUGUAGAUAACAGGGAAAGAUGGCGCAAGCUAUCACUUACAGAUGGGCCCGCGGCGCAUUAGCUAGUUGGUAGGGUAACGGCCUACCAAGGCGACGAUGCGUAGCCGACCUGAGAGGGUGAUCGGCCACACUGGGACUGAGACACGGCCCAGACUCCUACGGGAGGCAGCAGUAGGGAAUCUUCCGCAAUGGACGAAAGUCUGACGGAGCAACGCCGCGUGAGUGAUGAAG
rnacentral:rRNA from 1 species